rnacentral:tRNA from 1 species
GUCAGGAUGGCCGAGCGGUCUAAGGCGCCAGACUCAAGGUUCAUAACCUUAUCCGUCUAUGACGGGAGUAUACGGAGGCUUCUGGUCCUCUCUGAGGGCGUGGGUUCGAAUCCCACUUCUGACA